CCACCGGCCCCAGCACAGAGAAGGAAGCGCCCAGCGCAGCCACAGCGCCACCUGCAGAAGCGGAGGACAGCGCGCAGCAGAAAGAGGCUCCGUACACACUCAUAGGAUCUGUAAGUGAACCAGGUCUGGGUCUUCUGUCCUGGUGGAACAGUUAACAAUAUCUUUGUGUUGUAAACCUCAGCUAAAACUUCUCAUAAGACUCACUGAAGCUCUGUGGAGCGAUCGGUGAGCAGCUGGUGUUGUAAUUUCGCUGUUUUUUGGAGGAUUGUGAUAUUUUGAGUCGAAUUAAAGACUUGCUGUGUCCUACAGAGUUUACUUUAUAGAA